rnacentral:ribozyme from 1 species
GAAAAAAAGUCCAUCCAAUAGAGAGAUUUUCCGUAUUUCUGAACAUUCGAGCUGGUCGUUUUUCUCCCCUUUACUUUUUCUAUAAAUACGUUCAAAAUUGUAUUUUUCUCUCCACCAUGAGUGUACAAACGGGCAACAAAUGUCUCAGAAGCACAAUGAAUAUUCUUUUUUAUUUUUUUUUCCAAAAAAAAAAUAAGAAAAUCAAGCCAAAACAGGC